UACAGCCACACCACAUUGAAACACAGGUUCCUGUAUGAUCACCAAUAUUAAGCAAUGUCAAGACUGGUCAGUACCUAGAUGGGUGACCACUUGGGAAUACCAUGUGCUAUA